GACGAACGCUGGCGGCGUGCUUAACACACGCAAGUCGAACGGAAAGGCCCUGCUUGCAGGGUACUCGAGUGGCGAACGGGUGAGUAACACGUUGGUGAUCUGCCCUGCACUUCGGGAUAAGCCUGGGAAACUGGGUCUAAUACCGGAUAGGAGCCAUUUUUAGUGUGAUGGUUGGAAAGUUUUUUCGGUGUAGGAUGAGCUCGCGGCCUAUCAGCUUGUUGGUGGGGUAAUGGCCUACCAAGGCGGCGACGGGUAGCCGGCCUGAGAGGGUGGACGGCCACAGUGGGACUGAGAUACGGACCAGACUCCUACGGGAGGCAGAAGUGGGGAAGAUUGCACAAUGGGAGCAAGCCUGAUGCAGCGACGCCGAGUGGGGGAUGACGGCCUUCGGGUUGUAAACUCCUUUCGCUAGGGACGAAGCUUUUUGUGACGGUACCUAGAUAAGAAGCACCGGCUAACUACGUG
rnacentral:rRNA from 1 species